GCAUCGGUAGUGCAUGGAGCACGCACCAAUAUGAUGUCGCUCGAGAGGCAUACAACGGUGAGGCGGGGUUCGAUUCCCCCCGGUGCU